rnacentral:rRNA from 1 species
AUGAGUAAAGCGGCAGACGGGUGAGUAAUACAUAGGUAAUCUACCUUCGAGCUUGGGAUAACCCCGCGAAAGUGGGGCUAAUACCGGAUAAGACCACGUGGCGUAAGUUACGCGGUAGAAGGUGGCUUUUUCUUCGGAUUGAGCUAUCACUUGAGGAUGAGCCUAUGGCCUAUCAGCUUGUUGGCGGGGUAAGAGCCCACCAAGGCUAUGACGGGUAGUUGGUCUGAGAGGACGACCAACCACACUGGGACUGAGACACGGCCCAGACUCCUACGGGAGGCAGCAGUGGGGAAUAUUGGGCAAUGGGCGCAAGCCUGACCCAGCGACGCCGCGUGGGUGAUGAAGGCCUUCGGGUUGUAAAGCCCUGUCAUGCGGAAAGAACAGUCUCAUGGCUAAUAUCCAUGAGAUUUGACGGUACCGCAGGAGGAAGCACCGGCUAACUCCGUGCCAGCAGCCGCGGUAAUACGGAGGGUGCAAGCGUUGUUCGGAAUUAUUGGGCGUAAAGGGCGCGUAGGCGGUAAUGAAAGUCAGAUGUGAAAUACUUCGGCUCAACUGAAGAACUGCAUCUGAAACUUCAUAACUAGAGUACGGAAGAGGGAAAUGGAAUUCCCGGUGU